GCAUCCGUAACUCAGUUGGCAGAGUACCUGCCUUUUAAGCAGGGGGCCGCGGGUUCAAAUCCCGCCGGAUGCACCA
rnacentral:tRNA from 1 species